AUGGAUCUGUUGAAUCUCCACCAGGCUAUUUUGAAGUCCGACUUCAGCCUUGCUAGAAGGCUAAUCGAGUCCGGGACCACCGUCAACGGCGGGGACGAGGAGGGGAGGACCCCUUUAAUGCUCUGCUGCCUGCAUGACGGGGAGACCUGGUCCUUGGGCGUGGCCCGAAUGCUCCUGAUCCACGGAGGUCGCGUGGGGCUCUGUGACCGCCGCGGCCGAACCUCUCUGAUGUAUGCUGUCCGUUACGAGCGUCUGGGGUUAGUCGGCUUGUUCCUCCAAGCGCUGGACUACGACCUGAACCACGUCGACGAGCGCGGCCACAUGGCUCUGUGGUACGCAGCCCGGGUGGGUAAUGGCCUGAUCUAUGACCGGGUGCUUAAAGCCAUGAAGACCUGUGGGCUGAACGCCGAUGCUUCUGCGGCCGCAGUCCCGAGGCUUUGUGGUCACAAUAAGCAGGAUCAAGCUCUGGUCAAACACCAGAGAGCAGUUGAGCGGAAUGGCAUUAUUUCUGCCGCUGACCACAAGGUCACGGGUCACACAAAGCCGCGACCAGGGAAUGACCUGCGUCUCUUGUUCCAAAAGGAAUUCCCUUACAAGCCCAUUCCGGCACACUGCUGGACGAAGAGGGAGAACCUCUACAAAACUGUAAAGCAACCACUGGUAAAACCUGGGACAAAGAAACACUUGUCUCAGCGGCUUAAGCCGUGCGAGGAAGCAAAGACCACCACCUCUACAACUACAGAGGGGAAGGUGGACCUGACGACUCUAACCGAGGCCUUACUGAGGCAGCUGAGCCUUUCCUAUCGACCCGGGGCCCAGCCACGGCCUCCUUCCAAAACUCGGCCCUGCAGGAGGAAGCGUCACCUGGGGGCCAGCCCCUCCGCGGACACCCUUCUCCGCGGGCGGUGCAGGAGGGGAAGGAAGAUGUCCCUAGACGCCAUCAGUGACAGCCUGCUGAAGGAGGAGGUGACCGCCGGGGCUUUCCGUCGCCGCUGCAGCUUGUCAGUGAUACCCGUGAUCAGACUGAGGGCGGGACUGGCCACUCACAGGUCGAACACCUCAGGGUCAAAGGACACAGGGGAGGGAAGGGUCACUCGUAAAACCCCUGGUUAG
rnacentral:lncRNA from 1 species